UACGAAGGGAGCUAGCGUUGUUCGGAAUCACUGGGCGUAAAGCGCACGUAGGCGGAUUUGUCAGUCAGGGGUGAAAUCCCGGGGCUCAACCUCGGAACUGCCUUUGAUACAGCAAGUCUUGAGUUCGAGAGAGGUGGGUGGAAUUCCUAGUGUAGAGGUGAAAUUUGUAGAUAUUAGGAAGAACACCGGUGGCGAAGGCGGCCCACUGGCUCGAUACUGACGCUGAGGUGCGAAAGCGUGGGGAGCAAACAGG
rnacentral:rRNA from 1 species